rnacentral:lncRNA from 1 species
ACGUUACACUUUUCAGGAAAUCAGCGAAAUAGUGAUCGGACGAUAAUACGAACUUAAGAUAAGUAUUUCUAAUUAAUUACUACGCAUAUAUAUAUAUACUUGCAAAGAAUGCAAUAAAAAUGAAUAUCAGUAGUUUUCUUUAUUUUAACUGGAAAAUGGAAUUUAUUAUUGUUUCUAUAGAUGUGUAGGCGUAAUCGAAAAUUGAAGAUUAUAGUAAAAAACCGUUACAAGAUGUAGAUCAAAAACUGUAUUUACAGAUAGAUCUUGAAAGCAUGAAACUUAAAGCGGUUAAGACGUUUAUAUUAAUACAAACAAAUAUCUACCGCUUUUCCCGACUCGUGUACUUUUAACCAAACAAAUAUUUCAACAAAAUAUUGAACGCGAAUUGUGGAAAAUAUCGUUAGCAGGAAAUGGAGAACAUUGAAUGCGCGUGCGUGCGUAAGUUUUAAAGUUGGAAGCGAAUUCUAAAUUCUGAUUCGUGAUGCGAAACGGCUGAUUACGAGCACAUUUGAACAAUACAUAUCGGCCAGGAUUUAUCAUGAACGCGAAUAAAAAGGAGAAAAACAGAAGCAGAAGAAGAAGAAGAGGAGGAAGAAGGAGAAGAAGAAGAAGAAGAGGAAGAAAAGGAAGUUUUACACAAAACGUUGUUACAUAUAGGAGACAUUUGAUUCGUUGCGGUUGAAGAUGGACACAAGAAACGUUUACGGAUACAAUAAUUGAUCGUAUAAAGUAAAAUUGUUGCGGCGUAAAAAGAUAGAAAUCGAGGAGGCGCAAGAACGAAAAUAGAAAAGAAAGAAAAUAGAAGAGUAAUGAUUGAUUGCUUGAAGUCGGGGUAAUCGUGCAAUGAUAGGUAAAAGAGGAUAAACCGAAAGAAAGAAAGAGCUAGGACGGGGGUGGUUCUUUCAGUUUGUACGAGUUAGCGCAAGAAUGCGCAUGCCAGAUAUCGAUCGGUAAUCACUAUGGUUACGCCUCGGUAUAGAAGCACGACGGCAACUACGACAGCGACGACGACGACGACGGCGACGACGACGACGACGACGACGACG